UGGGGAAUAUUGCACAAUGGGCGCAAGCCUGAUGCAGCCAUGCCGCGUGUAUGAAGAAGGCCUUCGGGUUGUAAAGUACUUUCAGCGGGGAGGAAGGGAGUAAAGUUAAUACCUUUGCUCAUUGACGUUACCCGCAGAAGAAGCACCGGCUAACUCCGUGCCAGCAGCCGCGGUAAUACGGAGGGUGCAAGCGUUAAUCGGAAUUACUGGGCGUAAAGCGCACGCAGGCGGUCUGUCAAGUCGGAUGUGAAAUCCCCGGGCUUAACCUGGGAACUGCAUUCGAAACUGGCAGGCUUGAGUCUUGUAGAGGGGGGUAGAAUUCCAGGUGUAGCGGUGAAAUGCGUAGAGAUCUGGAGGAAUACCGGUGGCGAAGGCGGCCCCCUGGACAAAGACUGACGCUCAGGUGCGAAAGCGUGGGGAGCAAACAGG
rnacentral:rRNA from 1 species